rnacentral:rRNA from 1 species
CAGCAGCCGCGGGAAUACGUAGGGUGCGAGCGUUAAUCGGAAUUACUGGGCGUAAAGCGUGCGCAGGCGGUUGUGUAAGACAGGUGUGAAAUCCCCGGGCUUAACCUGGGAACUGCGCUUGUGACUGCACAGCUAGAGUAUGGCAGAGGGGGGUGGAAUUCCACGUAUAGCAGUGAAAUGCGUAGAGAUGUGGAGGAACACCGAUGGCGAAGGCAGCCCCUUGGGCCAAUACUGACGCUCAUGCACGAAAGCGUGGGGAGCAAACAGGAUUAGAUACCCCUGUAGUCCCUGUCUCUUAUAA